UCCGGGGGGGGCAAGCGUUGUUCGGAAUUACUGGGCGUAAAGGGCUCGUAGGUGGCCAACUAAGUCAGACGUGAAAUCCCUCGGCUUAACCGGGGAACUGCGUCUGAUACUGGAUGGCUUGAGUUUGGGAGAGGGACGCGGAAUUCCUGGUGUAGCGGUGAAAUGCGUAGAUAUCAGGAGGAACACCGGUGGCGAAGGCGGCUAUCUGGACAGAGUCUGACGCUGAGGCGCGAAAGCUAGGGGAGCAAACAGG
rnacentral:rRNA from 1 species